GGGCGCAGCUUUAUACGACCGCAAGGGUUGAACCCUGAACGGUUGGGGCAAGUAUGGACACAACAUUCAAGCUGGAUUCAGCUCUAAAUUUGGAUUGUGAUUAAAUAGUUGACACAGCAUAGGUUUCAGACACAGAAUGAAUGUGGUCUAAUGAACUUAAAAUAUUUUUUUUGCCUUUGAGCAAUUCACUAUGCUGUUGAAUAUUAAUCCUCUCAAAAAAAUGUUUGAAGAAAUUUUCUUUUUAUUUAUGAAAUCUGAAAUGAGAAAAAUUCCCCCCCCCC
rnacentral:lncRNA from 1 species